CCCGCUGAACUUAAGCAUAUCAAUAAGCGGAGGAAAAGAAACCAACAGGGAUUGCCCCAGUAACGGCGAGUGAAGCGGCAACAGCUCAAAUUUGAAAUCUGGCCCCUCCGGGUCCGAGUUGUAAUUUGUAGAGGAUGCUUUUGGCGAGGCGCCGCCCGAGUUCCCUGGAACGGGACGCCACAGAGGGUGAGAGCCCCGUCUGGCUGGCCGCCGAGCCUCUGUAAAGCUCCUUCGACGAGUCGAGUAGUUUGGGAAUGCUGCUCAAAAUGGGAGGUAUAUGUCUUCUAAAGCUAAAUACUGGCCAGAGACCGAUAGCGCACAAGUAGAGUGAUCGAAAGAUGAAAAGCACCUUGAAAAGAGGGUUAAACAGUACGUGAAAUUGUUGAAAGGGAAGCGCUUGUGACCAGACUCGGGCGCGGCGGAUCAUCCGGGGUUCUCCCCGGUGCACUUCGCCGCGCCUGGGCCAGCAUCAGUUCGCCGCGGGGGACAAAGGCUUCGGGAACGUGGCUCCCCCGGGAGUGUUAUAGCCCGCUGCGCAAUGCCCUGCGGUGGACUGAGGACCGCGCACCCGCAAGGAUGCUGGCGUAAUGGUCACCAGCGACCCGUCUUGAAACACGG
rnacentral:rRNA from 1 species